CCCUGACCCAAUCAGUGUCCAGAACCAGAACCACACGCUGACCCAAUCAGUGUCCAGAACCACACGCUGACCCAAUCAGUAACCAGAACCACACGCUGACCCAAUCAGUGUCCAGAACCACACGCUGAACCAAUCAGUGUCCAGAACCACACCCUGACCCAAUCAGUGUCCAGAACCAGAACCACACGCUGACCCAAUCAGUGUCCAGGACCACACGCUGACCCAAUCAGUGUCCAGAACCACACACUGACCCAAUCAGUAACCAGAACCACACGCUGACCCAAUCAGUGUCCAGGACCACAUGCCGACCCAAUCAGUGUCCAGAACCACACCCUGACCCAAUC